AACGCAAAUGGCGCUCUCGGGAUAGGCCUGGGAGCACGCCUCUUUGAGUGUCGAUUCAAUCAAACUCAGCGACCUGCUGCAUUUAUUUGUGCGGGCUGCAGCUGAACAUUGAGUGUCUCACGAAAGUGUGUCACUUUAAGCGGAGCGAGUCUCCUUUUUUCUAGCACUUGCAAUAGCCCUCUGUGGCUCUGCAUAGCCUAGGAUGAGUUUUGCCCUGCAAACUCGUGCCUGCUAGUGAUGCGGAUAAUCACAUUAGUGUGUUCCAUCAUGACUGGUAGGAGCGGGAUUCUGGCAAACGGCUUUAGUGUCCGGCUCUUCUUUGUGCGAACCUGCAAGAACAAUUGUGAAAGACAGACCGUGGGCCAGCAGCAAUGCUCGGCCUUCAAUAACCUCUUUGACUUAGACCUCAAAUGAAGCGAGACAACCCGCUGAACUUAA
rnacentral:misc_RNA from 1 species